UAAUUACUCGAUACCUGUGUACUAAAGCUGAUUCAAAGGGGUUGUGUUAAAUGCGGAAGACACAUUUCAAUUUAAUGAAUGCAUUCAGUUGUGCAAGGUAUACUCCUUUCCUUUGCUAUUAACCAUUGCAGGCCUAACUUUUGUUUACUACACAAGUGGGCACAAGUUUAUUAUCCUUAACAAAACGUGUGUCUCUGUGUGCCAAGAAUUCUCAAAUCCACACUGCUCAAUGAAGUUGAGUGGCAAGGCGUUUAGUUAGAUUAGAUUCGUUUUGGCGGAGUGUAGUUAGCCUCCCAGCUAGCGCAGUGGAUCUGGACCGAUUCCGGCUGAGAGUCCGGGCACCCGGCUGAGAGUCAGGCUCGGCCGACGUCAUGUGGCCCGAAUCUGGGCCACUUUAGGCAUAUUACGUAUGGCUAAAAUGCGGGGAUUGAGCUCCGGCUGAUUCCGGUGAGAGUUAUCUGGCCCAAAUAUAUUACGUGGGGCUCGGGCAGAUUGAGGCUACUCUAUGGCAGAUGAUUACACCGGCUGCUUUAUAUAAUUAACAUUUCAUUCUUUAUUUUUUCCAUAUUUUCUCAUUGUUUCUGUGAUCAAAAUAUACAAUUAACAAUUAAAUUAUUUAAGAUUCCUGUUUAAGUAGUAUAGUAUUUUGAUACUUUGUGAAUGGAGCCUCCAGAGUGGUGCAGCGGUCUAAGACGCUGCAUCAAUGCAUUCGGAAGAGGGCCGCUUCAGGGCCAAUUCCUCAUUGCUAGCUGGGCUACCAAUGACUACAUUGAGACGUUAUUAUUCAAUGCUUGUAAAAAUGCCCAUAAAUGUUUUUUGUAAGAUUUUAUAAGCAAUACAAAACAAAUGACAACAUCAUACAUCAACUAUCACACCUGCCCAAACCCACUAGCACACACCACACAUCUCCAGCCCCCACAUCACUUUCCGCCACAUGGCCUGAAACUGCACCAUUUUGUUUCACUCCAUAGCCCACGCACUUUCAAUAUUUCAAAACUAAAUCAUAAGAUUUUUCCAUUGUGUUAAUGAUGGUGGGUUGAUUGAUUUCUACGGUUUUAGUAUACAUUUUUUCAAGAAGAGAAUCGUCCAGCCCAUUGGGUAUCUCACUACACCCCCAUAGGCCAUGUCUUGAAAUAUGCAGACAGUAAGUUUACAUAGUAAUACUUCUGACAACCAACUUUCUAGCUCCGUCUACAACAUCCAGAUUUGAUUUACUAAUUUUCAACAGAAAUAUGGGUGUGGUCUGUUUAGGUUUUUUAUGGGGGAUUUAAGCACUUCCGGCCAAUAGUUCGCAGCUAGCUAGCUCACUAUUUAUUUAUUUGUAUUUUACUUCACCUUUAUUUAACCAGGUAGGCUAGUUGAGAACAAGUUCUCAUUUGCAACUGCGACCUGGCCAAGAUAAAGCAAAUCGCUAUCGCUUCUCACAACUUCCCAAACAUGGAUUCAUGCACAACUGGCAUUUUAUGUUCGGUAAGGGGAUUCCACAAUAACUGGCAUAAAUGGAAGCUGUUCAUGGAGGAGUGUUUUGACCACAAUUUUUUUGGGAGUGAGUGCAGUUGUUAGGUGCCUUUUGAUUUGCACCCACCUCCUAAGGAGGAUGAGUCUCUUUGGCUUUGGCUCAAAGCAUUGAACUUGAAGAAACCACCAAACUGACCCAACGUCUGUUCCUAUCACUUCGUGGACAAGAGGCCAACUGAAGAGCAUCCCUUCCCUGAGAAGUGGCUGGGCUAUGAUACUCUAGUACAAACCAAAAGGUGCCAUCUCAUCAGGUCAUCAACACAUACAGAUGAAGACAACUCUGGUGAUGCAGAGUCUCUGAUCUGAGUGUGCCAAUGCCACCGCAGUGUAAAGAUGCUGAUACUCAAUGGGAAGUUCCAGCACUGACUGAUCACAGCUAAGUGUCAAGAGAACCAGUCAACAAGCCCACCUGCCA